GAUGAACGCUGGCGGCGUGCCUAAUACAUGCAAGUCGAGCGAACAGACGAGGAGCUUGCUCCUCUGACGUUAGCGGCGGACGGGUGAGUAACACGUGGAUAACCUACCUAUAAGACUGGGAUAACUUCGGGAAACCGGAGCUAAUACCGGAUAAUAUAUUGAACCGCAUGGUUCAAUAGUGAAAGACGGUUUUGCUGUCACUUAUAGAUGGAUCUGCGCCGCAUUAGCUAGUUGGUAAGGUAACGGCUUACCAAGGCAACGAUGCGUAGCCGACCUGAGAGGGUGAUCGGCCACACUGGAACUGAGACACGGUCCAGACUCCUACGGGAGGCAGCAGUAGGGAAUCUUCCGCAAUGGGCGAAAGCUUGACGGAGCAACGCCGCGUGAGUGAUGAAGGUCUUCGGAUCGUAAAACUCUGUUAUUAGGGAAGAACAAAUGUGUAAGUAACUAUGCACGUCUUGACGGUACCUAAUCAGAAAGCCACGGCUAACUACGUG
rnacentral:rRNA from 1 species